GGUAAAAUGGCUGAGCAAAGCAUUAGACUGUAAAUCUAAAGAUAGA
rnacentral:tRNA from 1 species